UACGGAGGAUGCAAGCGUUAUCCGGAAUGAUUGGGCGUAAAGCGUCCGCAGGUGGCUGUGUAAGUCUGCUGUCAAAGAGCAAAGCUCAACUUUGUAAAGGCAGUGGAAACUACACGGCUAGAGUGCGUUCGGGGCAGAGGGAAUUCCUGGUGUAGCGGUGAAAUGCGUAGAGAUCAGGAAGUACACCGGUGGCGAAGGCGCUCUGCUAGGCCGCAACUGACACUGAGGGACGAAAGCUAGGGGAGCGAAUGGG
rnacentral:rRNA from 1 species